ACUCAGGCAAAUAGUGGAUGCCUUGGCAAUAUGUGCCGAAGAAGGACGCACAAGACCGCGAAAGUCGUCGGGAAGCUGUCACGAAGCAAUGAUCCGGCGGUGUCCGAAUGGGGCAACCUUUUCUGGGUUAUUCCAGAAAAUUUUUCUUUAUUGAAAAAGGGGCACGCACCAAACUGAAAUAUCUAAGUAGGUGCAGGAAAAGAAACCGUAUGGGAUUCCCUUAGUAAGCGACGAGCGAACAGGGAAUAGUCUAAACCAGCAUUAGCUGGGGUUGUAGGAGCCAAAUGUUCGAUGUGAAUUUGUAGCAGAACGCCAUGGAAUUGGCGACCAAAGAGCAUGAUAGUUGCGUAUGUUAAACGAAUUCACACGAUAUGGAUUUCCUAAGUACUUUCGGAGACGGCAAACUCCGGGAGGAAUCUGGGGCGACCACGCUCCAAGACUAAAUACGCAUAUUGACCGAUAGUGAACGAGUACCGUGAGGGAAAGGUGAAAAGAAGGGUGGAACACCCAGUGAAAUAGCAACUGAAACUAUUUGCUCACAAACAGACAGAGUCGGGUUAAACCGAUGAUGUCGUGCCUAUUGAAGAAUGAACCGGCGAGUUAUGGUGUACUCCGAGUGUAAGCUGUUGUCACAGCGGACGCGUAGUGAAAGCGAGCCUGAAUAGGGCGCUUAGGAGUUCACUAUAGACCCGAAACCAGGUGAGCUAACCAUGACCAGGUUGAAGGUAGGGUAAAACCUAUUGGAGGACCGAACCGUUCAGCGUUGCAAGGCUGUCGGAUGAGUUGUGGUUAGAGGUUAUAUGCCAAUCGAACCUGGAGAUAGCUGGUUCUCCCCGAAAUAUAUUUAGGUAUAGGCUCGUAUGAACCCUUCUGGGGGUAGAGCACUGGAUGGGUGUCCUCGGCGCAAGCCGAAGCAUCUAACCAAACUCCGAAUACCAGAAGGCGCUGUACGGGACUCAGAACGGCGGAGCUAAUUUCGCCGCUCAAAAGGGAAACAACCCAGACCAUCGUCUAAGGUCUCUAAACACAUCUCAGUGGUAAAGGUAGUCACAAUCCUCAGACACCUAGGAGGUCGGCUCAGAAGCAGCCAUCCUUGAAAGAAAGCGUAACAGCUCACUAGCCGAGGUUUAUGGCGCCGAAAACGUAUCGAGGCUCAAGUUGUGUACCGAAGACGUGGAUUUUAUUUCGAAAGAUGUAAAGUGGUAGGGGAGCGUUCUCCGUGCUGUGAAGGCGGCGGGUAACCGAUCUGCUGGAGCGAGGAGAAGUGCGAAUGCCGGUAUGAGUAGCGAUAAUGAAGUGAGAAUCUUCAUCUCCGAAUGUCCAAGGUUUCCGCACCCACGUUCGUCGUGUGCGGGUUAGGCGACCCUUAGGCGAGGCCGUUUGGCGUAGCUGAUGGAUUACCGGUUAAUAUUCCGGUCCUUGGUAUGUUUCGUUACGACUUGGGGAGGGACGGAAUCGGAUAGCGCAAACGCUCCGAUGAACGAGUCGUUGAACCGUCGAGACAGUUCCCGCAGGCAAAUCCACGGGGGCGUUUAUUCGAGACGGGACCACGAGCGCGAGGCGAAAGCCGAGCGCAAGUUGCGUGAUUUCAGUUUCCAAGAAAAGCUUCGCAAGCAGAAACAUGCCAAAUCGUACUGAUAACCGACACAGGUGGACUAGUCGAGUAGACUAAGGAGAGCGAGAGAACAUGGUUUAAGGAAUUCGGCAAAACAACUAGGCGUACCUUUGGAAGAUGCCUUCCUCUCCGCAAGGAGAGGCUCAGCGAAAGAUUUGAGGUCGACUGUUUAACAAAAACACAGGUCUGUGCAAACUCGAAAGAGGAAGUAUACGGGCUGAGGCCUGCCCAGUGCCGGAAGGUUAACUGCGAGAGUGGUAUCGCAAGAUACUGCUUUCAAUUGAAGCCCCGGUGAACGGCAGCAGUAACUAUAAAAACAUUGUAGUUAAAAAAGUUGGCUAUAUGCUGGAAACUCUCGAUAAGUUGUUUGUACUCAUUUGAUUUUUCGCAAGAUGAAUCAAAAAGUGAAAAUCAAACAAAUAGAGACAAUCAGCAGGGAAGUCUUGUUUAUAUGUUUAUAAACAUGAUCCCUCAGAGACUAUACGCCGACCUGUUUCUUAACAAGAAACAGAUGAUAUAGUCCGACCUUUAUGGAGACAUAAAGAUUGCGACAGAAAUGUUCGCAAAGCAUCCAUCAAAAAAGACGGAUGUAUCAACAAAUGUGAACUGUUCUAUGGUUAAGGGUAAAAACCGUUGCCAUAGUAAAAUUGUGCCAUAUGCUGGAAGAGCUGUGCUCCGAGAUGGUACCUCGAGAGCUGAAGAUGUUGAACUAGUUGAUGUUUGGGUAAGAUUCGGGUAUUAUGAAAAUAAUGCCCACAAUCUCAAACACAACUGACAAUGUUACAACUGCAGCAAAUCAGCAGGAAAGACUUGUUUUGUCUGGAUGGAUUGUAGGGUUUGUUGACGGAGAAGGCUAUUUUGGUGUUUCUGUGUGUAGAAAUACAUCAACACGUUAUGGUAAACAAAUAUUACCAGAAUUUGUUGUUACACAGAGCAUUAAAAGUUUGUCAUCUCUCCAACAAAUUCAGAAGUUUUUUAAAUGUGGUCGUAUAUAUGUAAAUCAUCGACAUGAUAAUCAUCAUGAUGAUAUUUAUCGAUAUUGCGUUCGCAAUCUAGAAGAACUUCAUCAGAUAAUUAUUCCUUUUUUUCGAACAUAUGCUUUACAAACUUCAAAACGGAAUGACUUUGAGCUUUUUGAUCAAGUUGUUUCAAGAAUGAUUUGUAAAGUUCACUAUUCAAUUGAAGGAAUGGAUAAU
rnacentral:rRNA from 3 species